rnacentral:rRNA from 1 species
AUUGAACGCUGGCGGCAUGCCUUACACACGCAAGUCGAACGGCAGCGGACCUUCGGGUGCCGGCGAGUGGCGAACGGGUGAGUAAUAUAUCGGAACGUACCUUUCAGUGGGGGAUAACGUAGCGAAAGUUACGCUAAUACCGCAUAUUCUGUGAGCAGGAAAGCAGGGGAUCGCAAGACCUUGCGCUGAUUGAGCGGCCGAUAUCAGAUUAGCUAGUUGGUGAGGUAAAGGCUCACCAAGGCGACGAUCUGUAGCGGGUCUGAGAGGAUGAUCCGCCACACUGGAACUGAGACACGGUCCAGACUCCUACGGGAGGCAGCAGUGGGGAAUUUUGGUCAAUGGACGAAAGUCUGAACCAGCCAUGCCGCGUGAAGGAUGAAGGCCCUCUGGGUUGUAAACUUCUUUUAUCUGGGACGAAAAAGGGAAUUCCUUCCCACUUGACGGUACCAGAGGAAUAAGCACCGGCUAACUCCGUGCCAGCAGCCGCGGUAAAGUGU